CUGUUUGAUCCUGGCUCAGAGCGAACGUUAGCGGCGGGCCUAACACAUGCAAGUCGAACGAUGAAGCACCUUCGGGUGUGGAUUAGUGGCGCACGGGUGAGUAACACGUAGGUAAUUUACCCUCGGGCGGGGGACAACUUUUCGAAAGAGAAGCUAAUACCGCAUAAGACCACAGCCUCUGCGGGGGCAGUGGGAAAAGAUGGCCUCUUCUUGAAAGCUAUCACCGGAGGAUAAGCCUGCGUCCCAUCAGCUUGUUGGUAAGGUAACGGCUUACCAAGGCGAAGACGGGUAGCUGGUCUGAGAGGAUGAUCAGCCACACUGGUACUGGAACACGGACCAGACUCCCACGGGAGGCAGCAGUGAGGAAUAUUGGGCAAUGGGCGCAAGCCUGACCCAGCCACGCCGCGUGAGUGAUGAAGGCCUUCGGGUUGUAAAGCUCUGUGGGGAGAGACGAAAACCUCGAGGUAUAAUACACCUCGGGCUUGACGGUAUCUCUUUAGCAAGCACCGGCUAACUCUGUGCCAGCAGCCGCGGUAAUACAGAGGGUGCAAACGUUGCUCGGAAUUACUGGGCGUAAAGCGCGUGUAGGCGGAUUCGAAAGUCAGAUGUGAAAUCCCUGGGCUCAACCUAGGAACUGCAUUUGAAACUUCGUGUCUAGAGUGAUGGAGAGGAAAGCGGAAUUAUUGGUGUAGAGGUGAAAUUCGUAGAUAUCAAUAGGAACACCAGUGGCGAAGGCGGCUUUCUGGACAUUUACUGACGCUGAGACGCGAAAGCAUGGGGAGCAAACAGGAUUAGAUACCCUGGUAGUCCAUGCCGUAAACGAUGUCUACUAGCCGUUGGGGCCUUUGAGGCUUUAGUGGCGCAGCUAACGCGAUAAGUAGACCGCCUGGGGAGUACGGUCGCAAGACUAAAAAGAUCGGAAGAGCGUCGUGUAGGGAAAGAGUGUAGAUCUCGGUGGUCG
rnacentral:rRNA from 1 species